UACGGAGGGUGCGAGCGUUGUCCGGAAUCACUGGGCGUAAAGGCGCGUAGGCGGCCUGAUAAGUAGGAGUGAAAUCCUGCGGCUUAACCGCAGGGCUGCCUUCUAAACUGUCAGGCUUGAGCACAGUAGAGGCAGGUGGAAUUCCCGGUGUAGCGGUGGAAUGCGUAGAGAUCGGGAAGAACAUCAGUGGCGAAGGCGGCCUGCUGGGCUGUUGCUGACGCUGAGGCGCGACAGCGUGGGGAGCAAGAGAUGAUAGACCUGACUGAG
rnacentral:rRNA from 1 species